UCAAUGGGCACGUAUCUUUAAAUUGUACGGUUAAAGGGUUAUUUCGCAUUUUUUCCCGAUCCGCACACAUUGGAAUUUCGCUAACUCCUCCGAAGGCUUUAGUUCCACCGCCACCAAAUUUGCUCAGGCCAAUCUACACCCCAUGGCCAUCAAAAGUUGUACAAAUCAUGACGCUGCACUCCACGGUUUAGGUUCUAGGGGGCGCCAAAGAUAACCCAAAAAUCCACAUUCUUAAUAGUCUUAUAACUUUUUAUUUUUGUCCUCACUGGCCUCCAAGUUUUCUAGGAUGAUGCAAUGUCCAGCCAUCAACACAUUUGUGAAGGAAUUUU